GUCGAACGAACUCUGGUAUUGAUUGGUGCUUGCAUCAUGAUUUACAUUUGAGUGAGUGGCGAACUGGUGAGUAACACGUGGGAAACCUGCCCAGAAGCGGGGGAUAACACCUGGAAACAGAUGCUAAUACCGCAUAACAACUUGGACCGCAUGGUCCGAGCUUGAAAGAUGGCUUCGGCUAUCACUUUUGGAUGGUCCCGCGGCGUAUUAGCUAGAUGGUGGGGUAACGGCUCACCAUGGCAAUGAUACGUAGCCGACCUGAGAGGGUAAUCGGCCACAUUGGGACUGAGACACGGCCCAAACUCCUACGGGAGGCAGCAGUAGGGAAUCUUCCACAAUGGACGAAAGUCUGAUGGAGCAACGCCGCGUGAGUGAAGAAGGGUUUCGGCUCGUAAAACUCUGUUGUUAAAGAAGAACAUAUCUGAGAGUAACUGUUCAGGUAUUGACGGUAUUUAACCAGAAAGCCACGGCUAACUACGUGCCAGCAGCCGCGGUAAUACGUAGGUGGCAAGCGUUGUCCGGAUUUAUUGGGCGUAAAGCGAGCGCAGGCGGUUUUUUAAGUCUGAUGUGAAAGCCUUCGGCUCAACCGAAGAAGUGCAUCGGAAACUGGGAAACUUGAGUGCAGAAGAGGACAGUGGAACUCCAUGUGUAGCGGUGAAAUGCGUAGAUAUAUGGAAGAACACCAGUGGCGAAGGCGGCUGUCUGGUCUGUAACUGACGCUGAGGCUCGAAAGUAUGGGUAGCAAACAGGAUUAGAUACCCUGGUAGUCCAUACCGUAAACGAUGAAUGCUAAGUGUUGGAGGGUUUCCGCCCUUCAGUGCUGCAGCUAACGCAUUAAGCAUUCCGCCUGGGGAGUACGGCCGCAAGGCUGAAACUCAAAGGAAUUGACGGGGGCCCGCACAAGCGGUGGAGCAUGUGGUUU
rnacentral:rRNA from 2 species